GACGAACGCUGGCGGCGCGCUUAACACAUGCAAGUCGAACGGAAAGGCCUGCUUUCCCUUGUGGAUUGCGGGUACUCGAGUGGCGAACGGGUGAGUAACACGUGAGUGAUCUGCCCCCAACUUGGGUAUAAGCCUGGGAAACUGGGUCUAAUUCCCGAUAGGACUGCAGGGUGGUGCCUGUGGUGGAAAACGAUUUUCUAGUGGUUGGGGAUGAGCUCGCGGCCUAUCAGCUUGUUGGUGGGGUAAUGGCCUACCAAGGCGGCGACGGGUAGCCGGCCUGGGAGGAUGGACGGCCGCAUUGGGACUGAGAUACGGCCCAGACUGCUACGGGAGGCAGCAGUGGGGAAUAGAGCACAAUGGGCGGAAGCCUGAUGCAGCGACGCCGCGUGGGGGAUGACGGGCUUCGGGUUGUAAUCUCCUUUCGACCGCGAGGAAGCCACCUGGUUGGAAGGGUGGUGACGGUAGUGGUAGAAGAAGCACCGGCUAACUACGUG
rnacentral:rRNA from 1 species